rnacentral:rRNA from 1 species
CGAGCGGCGGACGGGUGAGUAAUGCAUAGGAAUCUGCCCGGUAGUGGGGGAUAACCUGGGGAAACCCAGGCUAAUACCGCAUACGUCCUACGGGAGAAAGCAGGGGAUCUUCCGACCUUGCGCUAUCGGAUGAGCCUAUGUCGGAUUAUCUAGUUGGUGAGGUAAUGGCUCACCAAGGCUGCGAUCCGUAUCUGGUCUGAGAGGAUGAUCAGCCACAUCGGGACUGAGACCCGGCCCGAACUCCUACGGGAGGCAGCAGUGGGGAAUAUUGGACAAUGGGCGAAAGCCUGAUCCAGCCAUGCCGCGUGUGUGAAGAAGGCCUUCGGGUUGUAAAGCACUUUCAGUGAGGAAGAAGGCCUUGAGGUUAAUACCCUCGAGGAAGGACAUCACUCACAGAAGAAGCACCGGCUAACUCCGUGCCAGCAGCCGCGGUAAUACGGAGGGUGCGAGCGUUAAUCGGAAUUACUGGGCGUAAAGCGCGCGUCGGCGGCUUGAUAAGCCGGUUGUGAAAGCCCCGGGCUCAACCUGGGAACGGCAUCCGGAACUGUCAGGCUAGAGUGCAGGAGAGGAAGGUAGAAUUCCCGGUGUAGCGGUGAAAUGCGUAGAGAUCGGGAGGAAUACCAGUGGCGAAGGCGGCCUUCUGGACUGACACUGACGCUGAGGUGCGAAAGCGUGGGUAGCAAACAGGAUUAGAUACCCUGGUAGUCCACGCCGUAAACGAUGUCGACUAGC